GGCAAAGACAUCAGAUGAGCACAGCUCCAGCCUCCGAGACCCAGAACCAGAACGAAAGCAGCUUCUGUCUGUAUCACUCACUGCCAGCCUAACUUCAGCAACUGCUUGUGACUUUCAGUACUGCACAGCUGGUACCUCGUUGGGCACAGCAACAGAGGAUCAAAAGCUGGAUGGCACAGAGAAUGAAAGAGAGGAGAAGGGACUAGAGUUAAGCGUGGUCCUGAGAAGGCAUCUGCUGAAGCUCUGUUGCUCCUGUGUACUAAGAGUCGGCGUCCUGUGCACAGUGAAGGUGGAGCCCGUGGAGAGGAGCAUCUCAGUACACGGAGGGUCCCGGAAUUGAGUGGUCCACCCCGGUCUUCACCCUGGUUAGCCUAUGACUGGGCCUGAUGCCUCUCAUUCCUGAGUAAGCUGACCUUCGAUUCUUCACACAAGGGCCCAGCUGUGACUCAUGAAAAUGAAAAUGAGAGUACGACUUUGGAGCAAAGCCAUUUCUCAAGUCUGAGGGGUAAGUGCAUGCACAGAGCGCUGCACACAGCUCUGCCAACGGCUGUCACCACCUGGUGCCGUCGCGAAGCUGGCCACGGAGCAGCCGCACUCAGCAGCCACGCUCUCCGGAGUCGCUGCUAUGGACACAGUCUCAUGGGGCUCUCUGAAGCCCUCUGCCUUGGUGGGUCUCUGCUGCAGAAAGCGAGGGUUCUGAGCCAACACAGGCCUAGUCUGGAGGCAGAGUCCUGGGGAAAGGAAGCGUCUGUGAGCAGGGGCACAGCUGGUUCCUCAAACACAGGAGAACUCAUGUUGGAACCUGUUUAACCCCAGCCAUCACCAAUUGAUGAGUUAACCACCUUUAACCUGAGAUUCAAUAAAACAUGCCAUUUUUAACCUGAAAUGGGUUUUUACAGAGUCACUGUUACGCACCUCAUUAUUAAACCCAUGCUGACCCCUUGAGAGAGCAGCCGUGUUAGCACAUAUUAUAAGCCUAUUGCCCAUAAAAUAUUUAAAAGUAGAGAAAGAGAUGGAAAGAAGUGAAUUCGUGAAAGAGCUAUGUGCCAAGUGAGAAAAUGAAAAUAUUCUGGCCAGUAAAGACCCACUGGUAUUUUUCUUUCAUUCCAUGACAACACAAAAAUCAUCCAUGGAGAAUACUCGUGUCUCGCUUGUAUAUUAGCUAUGAAAUGCCAAAGGCACCUGUACUUCCUGAAUUUCUCUCUAAAAAAAUUUGGGAAUGCUAAAAACAAGUUUCAAAAGAUUUGCCACCAACGGGAGGCCCAUCAUCCCCACAAAUGAAAGAGAGCGUGCCCCGCCACAAGACCUUCUAUUACACAGGAAGGCGCCCCCAAGCCACGCAGGUUUGCCUGUCUCCCUCAUGAGUGACUCUAAUUCCAAUCACUGUUCUAUUAUGCUCCUGAUAGCAGAGAUGGGAAACAAUCAAAAAUAGCUUUAGGGAUGGUGACUUAGUUAACAUUAAUGACCACUAAACAAGAAAUUUCACAUUCAAAAAAGAAAAAAAAAGUAACACUAUGGUAAACUUGCUAAGAUAUCUUUAAUAGAAGGACAUCUCUGAAAGAAUA